rnacentral:tRNA from 1 species
CGGGGCAUGGUGUAAUUGGCUAACAUACUCCGUUUGGGACGGAGUGAUUCUCGGUUCAAGUCCGAGUGCCCCGACUA